AAUAUUAUUAUAAAGACGCUUUGGUUGAGUAAGAAGUCUGCUACUUUAUAUUCAUUCAGAUGAAUAUAAAUCCAUAUAUUUAAGGGAAAAAUUUCUUUACUUGUGCCUGCAGAUUCGCUUGGGAGUUGGUGAAAGAAAAGAAAAUGAGAGUGCCAUGCACAUUGACUUCCCAAAUUCCCAAGAACUACGAAGUAAAGAACUACACUAAUUAAAGAGAGAUUCUUGAUACUACACAUGAUAUUUUUCUCUCUAUUGUGUAUAAAUAAAUAAGGGCACGCACUGCAAGCUCAUUUCUGAUUUCUAUAUAUACUUGAAUAAACAAAGAUCAAUAUGACCUUACAAUGAAUAUGUAAAAGUUUCAUUUAUUCAAAAACAAAAACUAACAGAUAAUUAUUUCAUUUCUUAUCAAUUAGGAUUCAGUUUUGUUGAUAAAUACAAUUAAAAUUAUUUUAAA
rnacentral:misc_RNA from 1 species